UGGGGAAUCUUCCGCAAUGGACGCAAGUCUGACGGAGCAACGCCGCGUGAGUGAAGAAGGUUUUCGGAUCGUAAAGCUCUGUCUUAAGGGAAGAAUGGCCUUGGGAGGGAAUGCCUAAGGCAUGACGGUACCUUAAGAGGAAGCCCCGGCUAACUACGUGCCAGCAGCCGCGGUAAUACGUAGGGGGCGAGCGUUGUCCGGAAUUACUGGGCGUAAAGCGCAUGUAGGCGGCUUGUUAAGUCAGGUGUGAAAACUGUCGGCUCAACCGGGAGAGUGCACAUGAAACUGGCAGGCUUGAGGGCAGGAGAGGAGAGCGGAAUUCCUAGUGUAGCGGUGAAAUGCGUAGAUAUUAGGAGGAACACCAGUGGCGAAGGCGGCUCUCUGGACUGAACCUGACGCUGAGAUGCGAAAGCUAGGGGAGCGAACGGG
rnacentral:rRNA from 2 species